rnacentral:lncRNA from 1 species
UGGCAUGUGCUUUGGUGCCGAAAUUUGUUAGAUAUAAAAACAUACAAAUACUGUUCUCUAACAACUUAAAUUUUUUAUGAUAAUCAGGCCGCACUGCAUAUCGCCGAGAAUUCCGUCUUUCAGGAGCGAACGAAACACAUUGAACUCGAUUGUCAUUUCAUACAAGAUCAUCUAAAAUUUGGCCCCGAUACCAUAUUAAAUAUAAAAAUAUAUAAACACCGUUUUUCAAUAGCUCAAAUUUUUAGAAUAUAAUGAUUAUUUUAUAUGGUAUCAGAAUAGAAGGUUCUGAAUUUGAAUCACGCAAGAAAGUCACGUCAAGCUUCUAGAAUUAUUUAAAUUUUAGAGCACAAUAAUUAUUUUAUAAAAUUAUAAAAUAUAAAAAUAGAUGAGUUU